CCUACGGGCGGCAGCAGUGAGGAAUAUUGGUCAAUGGGCGAGAGCCUGAACCAGCCAAGUCGCGUGAGGGAGUACUGCCCUAUGGGUUGUAAACCUCUUUUGUCGGGGAGCAAAAGCCGGACGUGUCCGGCUGUGAGAGUACCCGAAGAAAAAGAAUCGGCAAACUCCGUGCCAGCAGCAGCGGUAAUACGGAGGUGGCAAGCGUUGUCCGGAAUUACUGGGUGUAAAGGGAGAGUAGGCGGGAAAGCAAGUUGAAUGUUUAGGGUACGGGCUCAACCUGUACAAGCGUUCAAAACUGUUGUUCUUGAGUGGAGUAGAGGUAAGCGGAAUUCCUAGUGUAGCGGUGAAAUGCGUAAAUAUUAGGAGGAACACCAGUGGCGAAGGCGGCUUACUGGGCUUUAACUGACGCUGAGGCUCGAAAGCGUGGGUAGCAAACAGGAUUAGAUACCCCUGUAGUC
rnacentral:rRNA from 1 species